AUCAUAGUGUGAUCGCCCGCUGAAGAAAGUGCAUAAACUCUAAUAUGCAGCACAAGAUUCCUUUCAUUAUGGUUCUUUACCACCAAACCUAAAGCUGGCAGUUCAUUGAGUUCAGUGCAGUUUAUUUAUGCAAAAUCUGUUCUUUUCAAAACAGGCCAGUUUAUAUCCAGAAACGUGUAAGCGAGUCAAUCCAAAACAAUCAAAAAAAAACAGCAGGCAAGGUAAUCCUUAGAGUUUACUGCCAAUGUUUCACUUCUGACAGUUUUUUCUCAGUCUCUCCACUGGUAGCCAGGACAUGGCUGACUAUUUUGUAAAUUAAGAGAAAAUCUACUGGCAACUUGCAGCAGCAUGUAUGGGAGGGCAUUACAACUCUAAUUUUAAAAUCCCACAGUGUUUCUGGCGUCUCAUUACAGACGUUGAAAUUGCAGGAAUAGCAUGAUGGAAAUGUUUAGUAGCUUUAAAAAUGAUAUUAAAAAACUGUGGAUUUCCCCUUGAAAUACAGUCUGGUAAAAACCAGCCCCAUGUUCUACUGAAACUGGGGCUGGAAAAGAAGGUCUGCUAUUGAGAAACAAUUGCUCUCUUUCUCUGUGGAUCUGUUGAAUUUUAUAAUUUUACCCAGUUGCUAACGUGUGCCCCCGGUGUAUGUAAUGCGCCAGUUCAAUGCUUUGAAGCUCACUGGAAAUGGCCUUCACUGUAAACAACCAUCCUCCACUGCGAAGAGAGAAGUCGAAUGAGAUGGAUGUUAAUGUUAAUUCAAUAUUUGGCAGCAUGGAUUAAAUUACUUUGUUCACUUCCUCUACAACUCUAAAACAUUGUUCACAACUCCUCUUUCAGUUCACUGAUCUGCCUGGUUGAAAUUCAGCCAGCAAAAUCUAGUUCAAUGGGAGAAUUCCCAGAUGGAGCACUGAAGGGAAAUGAGAAUCGAGUGGAGUUGCACAGGAAGGCAAUGGCCAGGCUACUUAAAACAGGGUUAAUCUGUUAUCCUUGGGUAUGCUGUGAUGCACUAAUUAGUUGGCGUGAUAUCAAAAUCUACUGAUCAGCUUUGCUCAUUGAUUUGUCAUAUACUGAAAAAUCUGAGGCAGGAUGAAACUUACAUAAAGAAUUCACAAACAAGCAAAACAAAGUUGCUGGGGAAAUUAAAUAACACUUUAUGCAAUUUUAUCUUAAUGGGGUAUUAUGUAAGGUUGACAUUUUUGAGCUUUACAUCAUGUUAUAAUGCUAUUCCUUCAUCCAAAAUAUACAUGGAGUAUUGCCUUAAUUCUCUCAUGCAUGUUUGAGUUCUAAUUGAUUGUU